AUCAAUUUAGCCUUCAUUAAUAGUGAUAUCAAUUUGAUUUUAUAAAAGCUGAAUGUGUUAAAAUUACAGUGAAUAAGUAGUCUAUGGUAUGAAACUAGAUAUGUUUUUCUUGUUAAUUAAUGGCCUUUUAAUGUUGGAUGUUUUCAAGCAAAAUUCAUAUAAUUGUAAGAAACAAAAGUAUUACCACAAGGGAGGGGCAAAACCAUUUCAUCCAACAUGCAAGGAAGGCUCGCAAGAAUAAGAUUAAGAAAAAGAAGGAUGGAGUUAAAGGAGAAAGUAUUCAAGAAGCACUUGAGGUAGUGAUGGUGAUCUUUCAAAUGACAAUGAUACAUGUGCUAAACUAAAGAUCAUGACAUGGAUGAUGACUUAUAUUAUGUAUUUUGUUGUUGGUUUCAAAUAUGCACACGGUAUACCUGUUUUGUUACCGACUCAAUGCCUUAGAAUCUUGUUAGCAUCUCAAUAUGUUUAGAGGUGUUAGGAUGCUUAUGUUAGCUUUUGAGAUAUAAACUUGGUGUAUGUAUUGGAUGUAAUCUAACUUAUUGAUCAAUGAAAUGUGAUUAACUAAA